GACGAACGCUGGCGGCGUGCUUAACACAUGCAAGUCGAACGGAAAGGUCCUGCUUUUGUGGGGUGCUCGAGUGGCGAACGGGUGAGUAACACGUGAGUAACCUUCCCUUGACUUUGGGAUAACUUCAGGAAACUGGGGCUAAUACCUGAUAGGAGCUCCUGCUGCAUGGUGGGGGUUGGACAGUUUCGGCGGUUGGGGAUGGACUCGCGGCUUAUCAGCUUGUUGGUGGGGUAGUGGCUUACCAAGGCUUUGACGGGUAGCCGGCCUGAGAGGGUGACCGGCCACAUUGGGACUGAGAUACGGCCCAGACUCCUACGGGAGGCAGCAGUGGGGAAUAUUGCACAAUGGGCGGAAGCCUGAUGCAGCAACGCCGCGUGCGGGAUGACGGCCUUCGGGUUGUAAACCGCUUUCGCCUGUGACGAAGCGUGAGUGACGGUAAUGGGUAAAGAAGCACCGGCUAACUACGUG
rnacentral:rRNA from 1 species